rnacentral:piRNA from 1 species
UCCAGUUACCACUUGGCUACCUGGUGCUAC